rnacentral:rRNA from 1 species
UCAAGCGAUAGGUAAGAGCAUUUGGCGAAUGCCUAGGCAAUCAGAGGCGAAGAAGGACGUGAUACACUGCGAAAAGCCGUGGGGAGCUGUGAAUAAGCAUUGAUCCGCGGAUGUCCGAAUGGGGAAACCCGGCCGCAAGGUCACUUUCACACGAAUACAUAGUGUAGAAAGAGCGAACGCAGGGAACUGAAACAUCUAAGUACCUGUAGGAAAGGAAAUCAACCGAGACUCCGAAAGUAGUGGCGAGCGAAAUCGGACCAGCCGAUGGAUUUAUUAAUAAGAAUUGGAAGCAUCUGGAAAGUUGCACCAAAGAAGGUGAUAGUCCUGUACAAGUAGAAAGUUAAUAAAUUCUUGAGUAAGGCGGAGCACGAGAAAUUCUGUCUGAAAAUGGGGAGACCACUCUCCAAGGCUAAGUACUACUGAUUGACCGAUAGUGAACAAGUACCGUGAGGGAAAGGUGAAAAGCACCCCUAUAAGGGGAGUGAAAGAGAACCUGAAACCGAAUGCUUACAAGCAGUCGGAGGGUCUUUAAGGCCUGACGGCGUACCUUUUGUAUAAUGGGUCAGCGACUUAGUGUAUGUAGCAAGCUUAAGCCGAUAGGUGUAGGCGUAGCGAAAGCGAGUUUUAAUAGAGCGAUAAGUUACAUGCAUUAGACCCGAAACCGAGUGAUCUAGCCAUGAGCAGGUUGAAGGUUGGGUAACACCAACUGGAGGACCGCACCCAUAUCUGUUGAAAAAGAUAGGGAUGACUUGUGGCUAGGGGUGAAAGGCCAAUCAAACUCGGAAAUAGCUGGUUCUCCGCGAAAACUAUUUAGGUAGUGCGGUGAGCGGACACCUUGAGGGGUAGAGCACUGAAAGAGCUAAGGGGGAGCGAUCCUUACUAAACUUUAUCAAACUCCGAAUACUCAAGAGUGAUACUCACCAGACAGACAUUAGGUGCUAAGGUCUAGUGUCGAGAGGGAAAGAGCCCAGACCGUCAAUUAAGGUCCCAAAAUUAUGGCUAAGUGGUAAAGGAAGUGAAUUGUCCAAAACAGUCAGGAGGUUGGCUUAGAAGCAGCCAUCCUUUAAAGAAAGCGUAAUAGCUCACUGAUCUAAACAAGACGAUUUGCGCCGAAGAUGUAACGGGGCUAAAGCCAUAUACCGAAAUUACGGAUUUACACGUAAGUGUAAGUGGUAGCGGAGCGUUCUGUAGGCCUGCGAAGGUGAACCGUAAGGUUUGCUGGAGGUAUCAGAAGUGAGAAUGCUGACAUGAGUAGCGAAAAGAAGAGUGAGAGACUCUUCCGCUGAAAGUCCAAGGUUUCCUGCGUAAAGCUAAUCUGCGCAGGGUUAGUCGGCCCCUAAGGCGAGGCAGAGAUGCGUAGUCGAUGGGAAUCAGGUUAAUAUUCCUGAACCAACUAGGAAGUGACGGAUUCAGUAAAUUGUAUGUCCUUAUUGGAUUGGAUAUGCAGUGAAUGAGUUCCAGGAAAUAGCCCUAGUAUAGACCGUACCCCAAACCGACACAGGUGGACAGGUAGAGAAUACCAAAGCGCUUGAGAGAACUAUGUUGAAGGAACUAGGCAAAAUACUUGCGUAACUUCGGGAUAAGCAAGCCCCAUUUUAAGGCAACUUAAGGUGGGGGGCACAUACUAGGGGGUAGCGACUGUUUACUAAAAACACAGGACUCUGCUAAAUUGAAAGAUGAAGUAUAGGGUCUGACGCCUGCCCGGUGCUGGAAGGUUAAGGAGAGAUGUGAGAGCAUUGAACUGAAGCCCCAGUAAACGGCGGCCGUAACUAUAACGGUCCUAAGGUAGCGAAAUUCCUUGUCGGGUAAG